GAUGAACGCUGGCGGCGUGCCUAAUACAUGCAAGUCGAGCGAACGGACGAGAAGCUUGCUUUUCUGAUGUUAGCGGCGGACGGGUGAGUAACACGUGGAUAACCUACCUAUAAGACUGGGAUAAUUUCGGGAAACCGGAGCUAAUACCGGAUAAUAUUUUGAACCGCAUGGUUCAAAAGUGAAAGACGGUCUUGCUGUCACUUAUAGAUGGAUCCGCGCUGCAUUAGCUAGUUGGUAAGGUAACGGCUUACCAAGGCAACGAUGCAUAGCCGACCUGAGAGGGUGAUCGGCCACACUGGAACUGAGACACGGUCCAGACUCCUACGGGAGGCAGCAGUAGGGAAUCUUCCGCAAUAGGCGAAAGCCUGACGGAGCAACGCCGCGUGAGUGAUGAAGGUCUUCGGAUCGUAAAGCUCUGUUAUUAGGGAAGAACAUAUGUGUAAGUAACUGUGCACAUCUUGACGGUACCUAAUCAGAAAGCCACGGCUAACUACGUG
rnacentral:rRNA from 1 species